AGUGUAGAUUCAGAGUUUGAUCCUGGCUCAGAUUGAACGCUGGCGGCAUGCCUUACACAUGCAAGUCGAACGGUAACAGGUUAAGCUGACGAGUGGCGAACGGGUGAGUAAUAUAUCGGAACGUGCCCAGUCGUGGGGGAUAACUGCUCGAAAGAGCAGCUAAUACCGCAUACGACCUGAGGGUGAAAGCGGGGGAUCGCAAGACCUCGCGCGAUUGGAGCGGCCGAUAUCAGAUUAGGUAGUUGGUGGGGUAAAGGCCCACCAAGCCAACGAUCUGUAGCUGGUCUGAGAGGACGACCAGCCACACUGGGACUGAGACACGGCCCAG
rnacentral:rRNA from 1 species